rnacentral:rRNA from 1 species
AUUGAACGCUGGCGGCACGCCUAACACAUGCAAGUCGAGCGGCAGCGCGAUGAGUAGCAAUACUUAUUGGCGGCGAGCGGCGGACGGGUGAGUAACACGUAGGAACCUGCCCAGAAGUGGGGGAUAACUAAUGGAAACGUUAGCUAAUACCGCAUACGUUCGGGAGAAGAAAGCUGCAGCAAUGUGGCGCUUUUGGAGGGGCCUGCGUACGAUUAGCUAGUUGGUGAGGUAAUGGCUCACCAAAGCGAUGAUCGUUAACUGGUCUGAGAGGACGACCAGUCACACUGGGACUGAGACACGGCCCAGACUCCUACGGGAGGCAGCAGUGGGGAAUCUUGGACAAUGGGGGGAACCCUGAUCCAGCGAUGCCGCGUGAGUGAAGAAGGCCCUCGGGUCGUAAAGCUCUUUAGGCUGGGAAGAAGGUUGUGGAGGAAAUGCCAUUAACUUGACGGUACCAGCAGAAUAAGCACCGGCAAACUCUGUGCCAGCAGCCGCGGUAAUAC